UUAGCCUCAAGAAAAUGAGGUGAAAGGUAAUUUCGAGUGAGUACGAAAUAAAGUACAAGUAAGAAGAGGAGGUUUUACUUUGUUCCAACUUUUCGCGACCAACAAAGCUGUUUGUUUAUAAUGAUGGUAAUGAUAAUGGUGGUAAAUAUUUCAACCAAACACCAAAUUGACAUAAAUUGAUUGAUGUCCAGAGAAAGAUUAAAUCUGCAGAUUAAUUAACACUUAAUCCAAAAAAAGAGAGAUUAAACAAAAAUAAUGUCUUUGAAUUAUCGACUCUUUGCCUUUACAUUACACAUGGAAUCAAAAAUUGCUAAUUAUGUAACCACAAGAUGGCUCUGAUUUUUUGACAAAAACUGUUAACUUAAGACAGUGAUUUUCGCUCUCUUUCUUUGUCUUUACGUUCAACUUCUCAUGAAUUUUUCCUGAAUUGAUUGUUUACUGAACUUGUUGAUUACUGGUUUAAUAUUAAUAUCUAAACCUACCUUCACCUCAUCCUUCCCCUCUCUUCUGUUCGUCUUUUAAUUAAAACCAAUCUUUCUUUUUAUUUCAGAUUCUUAUCCAUAUCCAAUCUCAAUCAGCUGAUGUAUCGCGCUCUCAUUAAAAUCGAAGGCACCAUUUUUACAUGUGGACAACCAAUGACCAGUGACGUUUGGGUUACUUUCGUUGCUUGAAGACAAUUUCUUGAUGUCUCUCUCUCAUUUAGUUUCCUGGCCAUUCGAUUUCCGUAUUAUUUGGAUUCAAAUCGACCAUUCAACGGCAGUUUAUAAAGAUCGAUGCAAUUUCCCAUUCGGAUCAUCAUUAAACAAUCAGAGUGGCCAAGCAAUCGGACAAAAUUACUUCAACAUCUCUUGAUUUGAAUUCAAAUUUGGCAGCAAAAGUCAACAUUUUGGUUCCAGGAAACUUAUGUUUAUUAAUCGUCAACAAUUAUUCUUAACAAUUGCGAUCGUUUACCUUGAAAGAUUGGCUUUUUGACCAGCUUUACGUGCCUUUCAACUUUCCUAUUCAAUCAUCAUUAACGUGUUAAUCAAAUCAUUCUCAUUACAUCUUUAGCUCAAAUGAUUUACGGUUGUUGGUGGAGAUCAGAAAUUACCAUUUGCUAUCAUUAUUAUUUGGAGAUCACAUAAAACAAUUUAACAUGUUUAUUAAGUGUCAAAUGUUAGUCACACACUUGCUAGCUGUUUGUCUCAAUUAUAAUCAAUUCAAUAAUUGUACCUAUUGAUAUAAGUUACAAUUUAAAUUGAUUCACAUUUAAUUCAUUUGACAUCAAUUUUAUGUAAACAUACGAUACGAUGGCAAUGACGAGGACAAAAUUCAUCAAAUCUCAAGUUAAAGAUCAAUCAUGAGGUCAAUCAUAGUGAGAAUAAAAGUUAUCCAGUUGGUGAAAUCUGAAAUGGAUUCAAGUUUAUCAUUUUCGACCAUAAUUUCCUACUCAAGCUACUCAGGACAAUAACGAUUUUGGGCGCAAUUUAAUGAUAGACGAUGAUAACCUUAACUGGCAAUCAUAAAUAUUAACUAUUGUCACAAUCAAUGCCUUAAAGGCCAGUAAAAUGGUGUAAUCUUGGAUCACUGGAAAGUCAGAAGCGCGAUCUGACGCAUGUAAACCCUAAUUGAGUGAAUUUACAAUUAGCCGUUUAAUUCAUCUUUUAAUUACCUUUAUUGUUGAGUUAUUGAGUUAUUAAUUCAUUGAUUGCUCAAUUGCUCAAAGGUUAGGUCAUUUCAGUUGAUAAAUCAUAUUUUGCCUUCAAAAGGUUAACCUUUUAACAUUGAAAACAAAUUUGAUUUUAGCUGAUCUUGAAUGAUCUUUCAACUUAUUUAGUUGAUUCAGUCAAAUUGUAAAGUCAACAAAUGAUCUUUAUCAAUCUUUAACUGUAAUCAAUAUUUUUGCCUGAAUCUAAAUUUAAUUUUGAAACAAUCAAAGUGUCACUUAAAUGUUGACCAAUUGAAAACGACUUGAAGUCAAGUUCAGUUGUUUGGUUCAAUUUUUUAUUUCAACUCAAGCUCAAUCAACACUCUUUUGUGUCUAUUUAACUUAAAUCAAUUUGUUUUAAUUUACAAUCAACAAUAGAUUUACAGAAAAAAUCCAUUGAUUGUAAAUUAAAACCAAAAAAGUGGUUAACCAAAUUCACCAACAGUAAAAGCUUAAUGUUAUUUUUUUCACAAUGAGAUUCUGUGAAUCCAAUAAAAGGUAGUUUAAGUUUAGACUAAUUUAAUUGUCUCAUAUUUUAAAUGUAACACCAAUUAAUGCGUCUAAUUGUAAGCAAAUGAAUUUACUUCUCAUCUGUAUUCACCGAGUAUAUUGAACUCAAUUGGACCUAAAAUGGACACAAUUUUAAGUCAAACAGUAAAAUGACUCUUUAAGCUUUCAACCAAUUACUUUAAUUUAAAUCAAUCAACUAGUUUACAGUUAGACUUAACAGUUAAAUCACUAUAAUCAUCAUUAUGCACAUCCAUUUGUUAACAAUUAUCUCAAUUAAAAAACUUACAUUCUCUUUUGA